rnacentral:ribozyme from 14 species
UUCUAAUCUUUUUUCCUCUGUUUUCUUUUCCUUUUUUAUUGUAAUAAAAAAAUAAAAAGCAAUAAUAAAAACAAAAACCAAUUCAAACAAACACUACUUACGUGCCUUCUCCGCCUUCCGUCUGCGAAUCUACGAAUAAUUUAUCAA